rnacentral:rRNA from 1 species
UACGAAGGGGGCUAGCGUUGUUCGGAAUCACUGGGCGUAAAGCGCACGUAGGCGGAUCUUUAAGUCAGGGGUGAAAUCCCGAGGCUCAACCUCGGAACUGCCUUUGAUACUGGGGAUCUCGAGUCCGGGAGAGGUGAGUGGAACUGCGAGUGUAGAGGUGAAAUUCGUAGAUAUUCGCAAGAACACCAGUGGCGAAGGCGGCUCACUGGCCCGGUACUGACGCUGAGGUGCGAAAGCGUGGGGAGCAAACAGGG